GGUCGUGUGGUUAACCUGGUUACACUUUUGCCUUGUAACCAAGAGGUCCCGGGUUCGAUUCCACCUGGGUCGAUUU